CGUAGAAUCGGCUGGCCCCUCUGAGAGCACUCCCCGCCGGCUUCUCGUUCCUGCUGAGGGACCUCCCUCCCCACUCCCUAGACCCAAAGGUGGAGCUGAGGGCUGGGCUGCGGAGCUGGGAAAGGGUGCAGGUUGGAGGACUGGGGGAUAAGCCGGUGGUAGAGAGUCGGGCCAUUCCGGAGGUUCCUCUAUCUCCGGAUAGAUUUUAGAAACAGCUGCUGGUUGCGGUGGGGUGGAUUUCUCGCUGGCUCCUUCAGAGUCAAAUUAUGUGUUGAUUUCCAUAUAUUGAGAUGAUCCUUCUUUUCUGGGAUGAAGCCACGGUCAGAAUGAACCUAACUACUGUGGUGGCUUGAAUAGAAAUGUCCCCAUAAGCUCACAGUUUUGAACACCUGGUCCCCAACUGGUGAUGCUGUUUCAUGAGGUUCUGGAGAGGUGCUGCCUUGCUGGAAGAAGUAUAUCACCAAGUGGCCUUUAAGAGUUUCUAGCCUUCUGCAACUUCUUGUUUGCUCUCUUUGCUUUAUGUUUGUGGUUGAAGAAAGAUGUUUUCAUUUCUUGCUGUGGCUGACUGCUUCCCUAAACAUCGUGAACCCUUUCCCUGAAACUUUAAGAUUUCCUGGUGCAGAACAUCUAAAAACCUGAAGUCCUCUGAGUGGGCAGUCAAACUCCCUGAGAGUGAAGGUGUGGCGGCUGAAGAUUGAAAUGUCCAAUAAGAAUUAUGGACAUCCAGUUUUGUUGGUGCCUUCCUGUUAUUUGGUAAAUACACCAAGUACAGAGAAUUUGAUGUAUACUGGCUCUCCAGAACAAGGAAUACCAACCAUAUGAAAGACCAAGCCAGCAUCUUCUCUUCAAAGCCUGCCAGUCCAGUAGAAAUGUUUGCCAAUGAGAAUUGUUCAGAUGAACUUCAGGACAUAGGACUUAAGCGAAUGAUCAUAAAACUUGCCAAAGAAUUCACAGAGUUUUAAAAGAACACAAA